rnacentral:rRNA from 1 species
UACAGAGGGGGCAAGCGUUGUUCGGAAUUACUGGGCGUAAAGGGCGCGUAGGCGGCCUGCUAAGUCGAACGUGAAAUCCCCGGGCUCAACCCGGGAACUGCGUCCGAUACUGGCAGGCUUGAAUCCGGGAGAGGGAUGUGGAAUUCCCGGUGUAGUGGUGAUAUGCGUAGAUAUCGGGAGGAACACCUGUGGCGAAGGCGGCUUUCUGGGCCUUACCUGACGCUGAGACGCGAAAGCGUGGGGAGCGAACCGG